AAAAGGGGCUUCUGUCAGGAGUGGCACACGUAGGGCAACUUGAUUGCUCUGCCUGCAGAACUGAUAUCAAGGGACUUCAGAAGCCUGAUUUUUUGGUCCCUCGGCAGCUGGCGAUUGUUGGCCCCCAA